rnacentral:rRNA from 1 species
CACGUAGGGUGCGAGCGUUGUCCGGAAUUAUUGGGCGUAAAGAGCUCGUAGGCGGUGUGUCACGUCGGCCGUGAAAACCUGCAGCUUAACUGUGGGCGUGCGGUCGAUACGGGCAUCACUGGAGUUCGGCAGGGGAGACUGGAAUUCCUGGUGUAGCGGUGAAAUGCGCAGAUAUCAGGAGGAACACCGGUGGCGAAGGCGGGUCUCUGGGCCGAAACUGACGCUGAGGAGCGAAAGCGUGGGGAGCAAACAGG